rnacentral:rRNA from 1 species
AUGUCUAAUAAGCGCCGGGGAUAUGCCGGCGACGGCGGUGAAAAGAGGUCGCGGCGGAUCAAGCAUCUGUACCUCGUGUUGGAUGACUGGACCAAGGGGUACAGCAUCCACAAGAUCCAAGCCGACAGCUUCGACUCUGACUCUGAUGACCAGCACAGCGGCGCUGCCCCUGCUGACAUGGUCUGUGGCUUCGGCAUCACCGUGGUCGUUGAUGAGAUGCUCUAUGCAUUAUCUUACCACUUCCGCGUGAAACAACACUCCUUUGGGGUCAUGUCAUGGGGGUCCACCGCGCCGGAUGCGCUGCAACAACCAACCGAGGGCUGGUCCUGGAAGACUCUGCCGCCACCACCGCCAACGUUCCACCGCCGAGUCAACUCCUAUGCACUACACCCGGAUGGAUGCACCAUCUUUAUGUCCACAGCUAACUUCAUGACGGCACCUAGCAAAGGUUGCAUGGGCACCUACUCAUUCAACACCAAGGAUUCUGUGUGGAGAUGGCAUGGGGAGUGGGCCUUGCCAUUCAGCGGCCAAGCACACUUGGACAGGGAGCUCAACGCUUGGGUUGGCCUUGGGUGGGAUGGCUACAUCUCUGCUUGCCAAGUUGCCUCCCCCAGCUGCCACAGCACGACUCCAACACAAGAUUGGGUGGGAUUGGCAGCAACCUCGAUGAGUACGUUGAGAGGUUGA